GGCAGUUUUGACUAGGAGAGAUCAGGACAAAAUAAAAAUACACCAUCAGAAGAAGAUCAUGUCUGAGAUGUUAAAAGAGCUUAGGGUUGUGGCAUUAAUGGAUUUUGAAGGAAGAAUUGCAAGAGAAGAAAAGAGGCAAGCCAUACACAAAGAGCUGAUGAUAGUUUUGACUAAGAAGCAUUUUGAAGAUGCACAGUUCAGAAAACAACAGGAAAUGAUGUCGAAGAUGCUAAAAGAG